rnacentral:snRNA from 1 species
AACUAAUAGGAAGUGAUGUAAAGUUAACCCUUUCAUCAUCGACUGUUAUAGUU